rnacentral:rRNA from 1 species
GCCAGACUCCUACGGGAGGCAGCAGUGAGGAAUAUUGGUCAAUGGCCGAGAGGCUGAACCAGCCAAGUCGCGUGAGGGAUGACGGCCCUACGGGUUGUAAACCUCUUUUGUCGGGGAGCAAAGAGAGUCACGUGUGACUCAUUGAGAGUACCCGAAGAAAAAGCAUCGGCUAACUCCGUGCCAGCAGCCGCGGUAAUACGGAGGAUGCGAGCGUUAUCCGGAUUUAUUGGGUUUAAAGGGUGCGCAGGCGGAGGUGCAAGUCAGCGGUCAAAUUGCGGGGCUCAACCUCGUCGAGCCGUUGAAACUGGGUGCCUUGAGUGGGCGAGAAGUACGCGGAAUGCGUGGUGUAGCGGUGAAAUGCAUAGAUAUCACGCAGAACUCCGAUUGCGAAGGCAGCAUACCGGCGCCCAACUGACGCUGAAGCACGAAAGCGUGGGUAUCGAACAGGAUUAGAUACCCGCGUAUG